rnacentral:rRNA from 1 species
GACGAACGCUGGCGGCGUGCUUAACACAUGCAAGUCGAACGGCAACGCCCUGCUUUUGUGCUCUGCUCGAGUGGCGAACGGGUGAGUAACACGUGAGUAACCUGCUCUUGACUUUGGGAUGACUUCAGGUAACUGGAGCUACUACCGGAUAGGAGCUCCUGCUGCAUGGUGGGGGUUGGAACGUUUCGGCGGUUGGGGAUGGACUCGCGGCUUAUCAGCUUGUUGGUUGGGUAGUGGCUGACCAAGGCUUUGACGGGUAGCCGGCCUGAGAGGGUGACCGGGCACAUGGGGACUGAGGUAGGGCGCAGAGGGCAAUGGGAGGCAGCAGGGGGGAAUAUUGCACAACGGGAGGGAGUGGGAGGCAGAAACGUCGCGGGUGGGAUGACGGUCUGCGGGUAGUAAAAAGCAUCCGCCUGUGACGAAGCGGGAGUGACGGUAAUGGGUAAAGAAGCACCGGCUAACUACGUG